GGGAAGGCCUCUGGGGCAAGCCGCGCAUGCUCAUUCUUGCUUUUGCCAAGAAUCGACGUCCCAUCGAGUCGCGGCUCACAAUUGAUGCAAGAGUUGAUAUGCGCAACAAGGUGCGCACCUUCAUCUACAUUUUUGUUUACUUUUUGCGCAUGUUCCCCGAGUCGCUCAUUGACGCAAUGCCCUGUCUUGCCAA
rnacentral:lncRNA from 1 species